GCCUGGGUGGCUCAGUUGGUUGGGCAUCUGACUUCAGCUCAGGUCAUGAUCUCAUGGCUUGUGGGUUCAAGCCCCAUGUCGGGCU
rnacentral:tRNA from 1 species